UCUACUUUGGCAGAUAAGUGCAAUGAAUUUAGAUUUCAUAGAUGUAAAUGAAUUUUACAGGUAGGAC
rnacentral:tRNA from 1 species